UACGUAGGGAGCAAGCGUUGUUCGGAUUUACUGGGCGUAAAGGGCGCGUAGGCGGCAAAUUAAGUCAGCUGUGAAAUCUCCGAGCUUAACUCGGAACUGUCAGCUGAUACUGAUCUGCUAGAGUGCGGAAGGGGCAAUCGGAAUUCUUGGUGUAGCGGUGAAAUGCGUAGAUAUCAAGAGGAACACCUGAGGUGAAGACGGGUUGCUGGACCGACACUGACGCUGAGUGCGCGAAAGCCAGGGGAGCAAACGGG
rnacentral:rRNA from 1 species